rnacentral:rRNA from 1 species
UGGGGAAUAUUGGACAAUGGGGGGAACCCUGAUCCAGCCAUGCCGCGUGUGUGAAGAAGGCCUUAUGGUUGUAAAGCACUUUAAGCGAGGAGGAGGGUACUGGUAUUAAUACUACCAGGUACUGGACGUUACUCGCAGAAUAAGCACCGGCUAACUCUGUGCCAGCAGCCGCGGUAAUACAGAGGGUGCGAGCGUUAAUCGGAAUUACUGGGCGUAAAGCGCGCGUAGGUGGUUCGUUAAGUUGAAUGUGAAAGCCCCGGGCUCAACCUGGGAACUGCAACCAAAACUGGCGAGCUAGAGGAGGGAAGAGGGUGGUGGAAUUUCCUGUGUAGCGGUGAAAUGCGUAGAUAUAGGAAGGAACACCAGUGGCGAAGGCGACCACCUGGGCUCAUACUGACACUGAGGUGCGAAAGCGUGGGGAGCAAACAGG